AAUUAAUAAUUUAUCACUAUUUUUCAUUACAUUUUCCUCCAUUUUUCAAUUCACAUUUUCAUCACCUCCAUUUUAUCAAUUAGUUUUUGUUAAUUCAACCCCUGACAUUUUACAAGAGACACUAGAAAACUUCGAAAAUGCUUCCAUUUUCUUUCCAGUUAUGAGGAAUAUGAUUACCUUUGACUUCACGUGGAUCAUGGAUUCGUCCAACUUCAGUGGUGGACUUUCUUUUCACUCCCGAUUUUUCUGUAAACACAAAGGCUUUAAUACUCUCUACUAGCAGAGCAGAACAAACUUAUCAUAUUGCAUGAGAGGUCGACCGAUUCAUCAUUUAAACUGAUUAAUUGACCCCGACAGGACAUAUUAAAAACUAUGGUUAUCUGUGGAACUGGGCUCUAAUAGUGGUCAGACGGGACAUACAGUAGAUCUCCGGUUAGCAUAGAGGCUCCAUACACAAAGUCAAGGUAAUGUGGAGCUUAGAUCAUUUAUAUUUAAAUUAAAUUAAAUAUAAGUUUACUUUAUAUAAGACCGCGUAUUCAUAAUAUAACUGCCGCUCUGCCGAAAGAGGGAGGGGGGAGAGCUGGCACUCAGAGCCUCCAGCAGUAAAUGCACGUACCCGCUGAACAGCUGAUUUACAUGACGCAAGCAAACAGCGGAUUACGAUGGAAAACAACGGGUUCUUUGAAAAUACAACAGACCUAAGACGAAGACAACGACCUUUCACUACGCCUGAAACACUGGAAUUACUAAUUAGGACUUCCUGAAGACUUAUCGUAAGACCAGAAGAUUCAACCUGAACUUGACUGAGAUAAUGAUUCAGCAGAUUGGAAUAUAAUGAAGAUGAGGAUCGUUAUGACGAAGAUGAUACACCAGGGCCAUGUUUUACUCAUCAGAUUCCUAUAGCUCUGUAUGGGCAGCUGCAUCAUUUCAAAGGAGAUAUUCGGUCUGAAAGUGUAAAGUUUUAUUAGACAGAAAUAAAAUCUUUCAAUUAUGCUCUA